rnacentral:rRNA from 1 species
CACGUAGGGGGCAAGCGUUGUCCGGAAUUAUUGGGCGUAAAGAGCUCGUAGGCGGUGUGUCACGUCGGCCGUGAAAACCUGCAGCUUAACUGUGGGCGUGCGGUCGAUACGGGCAUCACUGGAGUUCGGCAGGGGAGACUGGAAUUCCUGGUGUAGCGGUGAAAUGCGCAGAUAUCAGGAGGAACACCGAUGGCGAAGGCAGGUCUCUGGGCCACUACUGACGCUGAGAAGCGAAAGCAUGGGGAGCGAACAGG